CUUGUAUCAGUAAAAUAGUACUCAUUUACAUCUACUUAUUGUACUUGCGGGCUAUAAGAUUGGUUAUAGAUGACGUGUCAACAUCAUAUAGCCAGCAGCUGGCUGUACUAUUAACCAUGCUCUAAAACACAUGUGCCACAUGUGCAUGUCUACUUAUCUCUUGGUGGAUCAAAUACUGGGAUGGGAUGUGAUGCGCUACAAAGUCCACCCAUUCCCUGACAUGUGACAACAUCUCGCAUCGGAGAGAGAUGAGUGGGAGGGGCCAAGGAGUGGUGCUCCCGAUAAAGGGUAGAAACCUUAGGGAUGUAUUCUAUAUGACACUUUCACUGCGACUAUAAAAGGGAAUUUAAGAUCAAUGACAG
rnacentral:lncRNA from 1 species